AAUAUUAUAAAAAUGAAUUGUAAAUGGAAUAGUAGCCUGGUUUAGAUUAAAAGUGAAGUGUUUGUUCAAUAAUAAGAAAAUACCUCAAAUUUUGCCUGGCAAGCAGGCCAAUCCCCACCUCAGGAAAUGACAUCAUUACUUUUUAUUUCUAGGACUCCAGUUCUAUACUAGCAUUACUGCAAGACCAGGUGCAUUAAAGAGUGCUAAAAUAAGAGUAUAUUACAAACAAAUUACAAUGUUUUUAGCCAUAUAUGCCGUGCUUUUCUCUUUGGUCACAGAAGCUGUUCUGGGAGUGAUACUGGAGCAAAAAGAUCUCUUUAUAACAAAAGAGGAGGGCAAAAGUAUGUAUAUCAGCUGCACUGUGAAACAAUUAUCCACCACAUAUGUCCACUGGUACCAAAAGAAAGAAGGAGAAGCUCUGAGAAGGAUCCUAUAUGUCAGCGAUGGAAGCAAACCUGUGCAUGAUACCAGCCAUCCUGAAGCAAAGGACUUUGAUGUGAGAAAACAGUCUGAAAAUUACGAUCUGAAGAUAGCAAACCUCAAGAAAAGUCACUCAGGGGUUUAUUACUGUGCCAGCUGGGAGACCAGCUCCCACACUGACAGUAAAUAUUCACAAUGUGUACAAAAACCCUGA